AUACGAAGGGUGCAAGCGUUACUCGGAAUUACUGGGCGUAAAGCGUGCGUAGGUGGUUGUUUAAGUCUGUCGUGAAAGCCCUGGGCUCAACCUGGGAAUGGCGAUGGAAACUGGGCGGCUAGAGUGUGGCAGAGGGUAGUGGAAUUCCUGGUGUAGCAGUGAAAUGCGUAGAGAUCAGGAGGAACAUCCGUGGCGAAGGCGACUUCCUGGGCCAAAACUGACACUGAAGCACGAAAGCGUGGAGAGCAAACAGGAUUAGAUACCCUGGUAGUCCACGCCCUAAACGAUGCGAAAUGGAUGUUGGGUGCAAUUUGGCAAGCAGUAUCGAAGCUAACGCGUUAAGUUCGCCGACUGGGGAGUACGGUCGCAAGACUGAAACUCAAAGGAAUUGACGGGG
rnacentral:rRNA from 1 species